rnacentral:rRNA from 1 species
CAAUAGCGUAUAUUAAAGUUGUUGCGGUUAAAAAGCUCGUAGUUGGAUUUCUGCUGAGAACGACCGGUCCGCCCAUUGGGUGUGUAUCUGGCUCUUUCUUGGCAUCUUCUUGGUGAACGUUACUGCACUUGACUGUGUGGAGCGCUACCCAGGACUUUUACUUUGAGGAAAUUAGAGUGUUUCAAGCAGGCAUACGCCUUGAAUACGUUAGCAUGGAAUAAUAAGAUAGGACCUCGGUUCUAUUUUGUUGGUUUCUAGAGCUGAGGUAAUGAUUAAUAGGGAUAGUUGGGGGCAUUCGUAUUUAACUGUCGGAGGUGAAAUUCUUGGAUUUGUUAAAGACGGACUACUGCGAAAGCAUUUGCCAAGGAUGUUUUCAUUGA